UCCCUCAACGGUCCAGUGGUUAGGACUCAGCGUUCUCACUGCUGAGGGCCCAGGUUCAAUUCCUGGUUAGGAAA
rnacentral:tRNA from 1 species